UCCGAUAUGAUGGAACACAGCUAUUCACUCCUUGGCAUUAUUAUUGCUGCUGGCACUGUUGCCGUUAAGUUCAACAUUAUUAUUAGCUUCGUUCAAGCAUUUGGCGCACUUUUUGUAAUGAUAACUCCCACCCUAACGGAAAGCGUUCUGUGGAUAUGUUCGGAACCUAUUCAUUUGUCAAAAUUCCGAAGUUAAUCAUUAUUUCCGGUCCUAAUGGAUCAAGAUCAUGCAUCACCUGGUUAUGUCAACUGACUACUGUUGCAUGGCUACUACAGUUGUGAAUGCAGCCUACGAAAAGUCGGUUUAAUAGCUCGCCCUUACACGAUGCUGGUUACAAACGAGCCGAUGUUCAAGACCAAUAUUCCUACCCUUGAACAAUGUACUAAUGAAGAGUGAAGCUGCUGUGGUUUCUCUCUAAUUCGAAGGCUUAAACCUCCAUCAUUAAACCUUGUACCCAGUUUUUGGACGAACGAGAAACUAGUUACGAGCUGCAUUAAUGCACUAAAGUUGACAAUAUCAGUGCCAACUAAAUAUAAAAACGAGAAGACCAAUUGAUUCGGAUGAUUUCUUUCAAUCACCAAAAGUUUGCACCCGUAUGAUUAUGAUGUGAAUCAUACCAUCUGGCACAACACAGUAGCUAUACGUUGCUAAGAUGCAUAUGGAACAGGGAGCAACAUCAUGCUCCAAUUCAAUUCGAUCGACCAACUCAUUGUCCAGAUAAAAUGGGAUAAACAAUGGGAAUGCAUUGUCUGCUCCAAUCGAUUCUCUGUAAGAUCAAUACCUGAAUGAUUUGAAUUAGAGAUCAUCGAGGCCUUUUGAAAAAGGAAGAAAGUAUGAAAAGACAUUUAAAGAAUAAUGGAUAUCAAGUUGUUUGAGGAAAUAUGUUUGUAUCCGAUGGAGACGUUGAUGAUGAUGCAGUCUAGUCAGUCAUAAAUGAAUAUCAAGUUGUUUGAGGAAAUAUGUUUGUAUUCGAUUGAGGCGGUGAUAAUGAUACAGCCUAGUCCGACAUAAAUGUCACCUUAAAGUAAUAAGGCUGCAUAUGUCUAUGGUUUAUACAACCUAGCACCGGAGGCGUAAUGUAUUCGCUUGAAUCAGCUUUAUUGAACUCUAUCAAAUUUAGUGAAAGCUACAAGAAGAGAGAAGAAAGCUACAAGAAGAGGAAUAAAGCUACAAGAAGAGAGAAGAAAGCUACAAGAGAAGAGUAUUUGCCAACUACAGAGAAAUAAGUCUCUUUCUCAUCCAAAUAUGAGCGAGCUUAAUGUGUGAGAAACCCAGAUCUAAAUUCAGUGGAGUGAUUGUGCCCUAUGGGAGUGGAUUUCGACAAUCAACUAAAUAUUCACUAUGCGCCAAAGCAUUCCUAAGUUGACUGUAACUAACUUCAAAGUUGUUCCCGCAAAACUAUUAUGACUUUGCAUAAUAAGUACAACUUACACUCGAUCAUGAGUUAGACUAGAAAAGAACCUCUCCGAACAAUUCAGUACAAAAAGAGGUUUGAGGCACGGAGACAUGGUUUGCUAUGAUUUUUGUAAUAUCCAGCUUGAAAUGGUAAUACUAAAAGUUCAUGUGAAUAGAUAAACCAAUAAACCACAUAUGCUAAUGAUAUCGAUAUCACAGAACGAACAAAUCGAGCAGUUGUUACCAGCAGCAUUUAAAAACCAUGUCAACACUAAAGGAAACUUCAAGCUAAUACUGACUCCAAGAAAACACUGUACGUUGAUAACUACAACUUUGAAAUGAAAAGCUUUGUAUACCUCACACUGCCAUCAACAGAUCACACAGCAUAUUAUUUGAGUUCAUAAGGAGUUAAGUAUUGAUUAAAUCAAGAGCAAGGCCAUCUUUUUAAAGCCAUUAAUCAAGUAAUCCAUGUCCGGUGCAGAAAUAUGGAUUCUUAUAAUUUGUACAAUAUAUGGAUUAAUCUGGGCAAAUGGAGACUAGCAUUGUCGUAUAAACCACAAAGAGUAUCAAAAUACAACUCCUACGUUGGCUAGGUGAUAUUGUUUGAAAAGGAAGACGGUAUUUAUGCAGAUAAGGAGAAAUUUACACCGUUCAGACAUUCGAGCAAUACAAACCUUUUCUAGAUUACACCGUCAACAAAUCAGCAGUUAAUUCAAUGAACUACGCCAAUAAAAACAAAAUUCACACCAAAGUAUAGUUCAUACGAUAACAAUUGACACUACCAAUCUAAGAGUAAGGAGCAGCGCAACACCUCUUUUUCUAAGCGACGGAGUUCAAAGCAGUGAUUUCAAGUUUGUUUAUUGAUGUGCUAUGUUGGCCACCUGUAGUGUUACUGGGAUACCAUCGAUAGUUGC
rnacentral:sRNA from 1 species